AUUGAACGCUGGCGGCAUGCUUUACACAUGCAAGUCGAACGGUAACAGGCCGCAAGGUGCUGACGAGUGGCGAACGGGUGAGUAAUGCAUCGGAACGCGCCCAGUCGUGGGGGAUAACGCAGCGAAAGCCGCGCUAAUACCGCAUACGAUCUAUGGAUGAAAGCGGGGGACCGUAAGGCCUCGAGCGCUUGGACCGGCCGAUGUAAGAUCAGGGAUUUGGUGGGGUAAAGGCUCACCAAGCCAACGAUCUGUAGCUGGUCUGAGAGGACGACCAGCCACACUGGGACUGAGACACGGUCCAGACUCCUACGGGAGGCAGCAGUGGGGAAUUUUGGACAAUGGGCGCAAGCCUGAUCCAGCAAUGCCGCGUGCAGGAAGAAGGCCUUCGGGUUGUAAACUGCUUUUGUACGGAACGAAACGGCUCUGGUUAAUACCUGGGGCUAAUGACGGUACCGUAAGAAUAAGCACCGGCUAACUACGUGCCAGCAGCCGCCGUAAUAC
rnacentral:rRNA from 1 species